CGGACGGGUGAGUAAUGUCUGGGAAACUGCCCGAUGGAGGGGGAUAACUACUGGAAACGGUAGCUAAUACCGCAUAAUGUCUGCGGACCAAAGCGGGGGACCUCCGGGCCUCACGCCAUCAGAUGAACCCAUAUGGGAUUAGCUAGUAGGUAAGGUAACGGCUUACCUAGGCGACGAUCCCUAGCUGGUCUGAGAGGAUGAUCAGCCACACUGGAACUGAGACACGGUCCAG
rnacentral:rRNA from 1 species